GUCUAUAUAGAUUAUUUUGUGUAAAUCGUGAUGCUGUUAACUUCAAGAAGGGAUGUGAUCCAUAUAGUCG
rnacentral:tRNA from 1 species